AUCCUACUCCCUCCGUUCGGAAUUACUUGUCACAAAAAUGGAUGUGUCUACAACUAAAAUACAUCUAGAUACAUUCAUUUCUUGGACGAGUAAUUCCGAACGGAGGGAGUACUAU
rnacentral:pre_miRNA from 1 species